GAAAUAUCCCCCAAAAAGUCAGGACCUCUUCAAAAAAGAAUUACGGCUUCCAAGCUAAAAAAACGGGAAAUUUUUGGGAUUUCGUCUUGAAAAAGUGAAAUUUUGGGAGCCGCUGGGCACUCCGUUUUUUUUUUUUUUUUUUUUUUUUUUUUU
rnacentral:ribozyme from 12 species